ensembl:snRNA U6 U6 spliceosomal RNA
GUGCUCCCUUCGCAGCACAUAUACUACAAUUGGAACAAUACAGAGAAGAUUAGCAGGACACCUGCACAAGGAUGACAUGCAGAUUCGCGAAGCGGUCCCUAUUUAA